rnacentral:ncRNA from 1 species
CCGUGCUGAUGGGGAGCAACUUGCUGAGAGGUCGCCUAGGCGACGACCCGCGAACCUGAUCUGGGUAAUUCCAGCGGAGGAAGAGAAAUGGAAACGA